rnacentral:rRNA from 1 species
AUGGACACCUUCUUCCUCUCGCACGGCUCGCCGGCGAUCUGCAUCGACGAGAGGAUCCCGGCGCACGGCUUCUUCAAGUCGUGGCUGCCAGCGGCGGUGGCGGGCGCGCAGGCGCCGCGCGCCGUCCUGGUGGUGUCCGCUCACUGGGAGACGGACGCUCCGGCCGUCAACGUCGUCCACGGCACCAACGACACCAUCCACGACCUGCAGGACCUCCCUGACGAGAUGUACAAGCUGAGGUACCCUGCGCCGGGCGCGCCGGGCCUGGCCAGGAGGACUAAGGAGCUCCUGGAGGGCGCCGGGUUCGGGCCGGUGAGCGAGGAGCACGGCCGCGGGAUCGACCACGGCGCGUGGGUGCCGCUGAUGCUCAUGUUCCCGGAGGCCGACGUCCCGGCGUGCCAGCUCUCCCUGCAGGCCGGCCGCGACGGCGCCUACCACUACGCCCUCGGCACGGCGCUGGCGCCCCUCAGGGACGAAGGCGUCCUCGUCCUCGGCUCCGGCACCACCACGCACAACCUCAGAGAGUUGGGCCCUCUCGAUGCGCCGGUGCCGCAGUGGGCCUACGACUUCGACGCCUGGCUCAGGGACGCGCUCCUGGACGGGAGGUACGACGACGUGAAGCGAUACAAGGAGAAGGCGCCCUACGGCGAGCUUGCGCACCCUUCGCCGGAGCACAUCUACCCGCUGCACGUCGCGCUGGGCGCCGCCGGGGAUGAGGCCAGGGCGGAGCUGAUCCACCGCAGCUGGACCAACGCCACCUUCUCCUACUCUUCUUACCGUUUCACCAACAAGAUUUGA